ACCUCUUAACGAGGUAAAAAAGUCGUGAUUAUCUCCCCUUCAACAAAUAAUAUAUCUGAUAUCAAAUUCUGUGACGACAAAUGAAUAAGCGUUCGACUAAAUAAAUAGCAUAAACUGAACCCAGUUUCUGGCGCCAUCUGCGAGUAGGUGGCGGAAACAGUUCGUGGCAAAUGUGGCGGGUCAACAGGGCUAAGUGUCAAGCACUGAUCUGGAGAGAGCAUUUCUAUUCUUUCGCUGUUAAGGGGCUUGCCGCCAUAAUUGGGCGGCACCAGCGAUCUUUUCCCUUUGAGCCUUCCACCAGAGAGGUUGAUACCGCAGUCAAAAGUUUUUUUUAUGGCGCCAGAAGUUUUUACUCGGAAGGGGGAGAGACGUUAUACCCAGCCAACGAUUCAAGGUGUUAAUAAAGUCAACGAAAUUAGGCCUGCAGCAUUGCUGUAUUUUUUGUUACAACGCCCGAACAAAGCGAAGUCUAGUGGGAACACUCAAGCCGAUCACCGAAAUCCGCCUACGCCUGGAGUGCUUCGAGGGAGGGGCGACAGUGGCAACGCGACCGCCUCGCAAAGCGAGCGGAGGAGUUCGGCGACGAAAAGUGCUAAAGAAAUAAAUAUUAAAUUAUAUAAUUCACCCCUGUCCCGACCCGAACUAAUGUGCUAAACUUAAUUGUGGCCCGUUGCGGCAAAAAAAAAGAUAUAUCGGUAGUGCGAAAAAGUAGAAAUUUGGCGGUGUAAAAAAAAAGGAAAAGAAGAAAUUAACACUAAAAUCAAGAAAAUUUAAGUUGUAUUUUUUAGGUAUACCAAAUAAAAGUAUUUUGAGAAUAACUUUUGAACGGAGCAUCAGAUCCAAGUAAAUUUGUUGUCAUUCGACGCGUUUGAAUAAAAUUUAAACUGUGUUAAAAAAGUGUAAUAUGUAUUUUACCAACCCAAACUCCAAAUAAAUUUUUUUUUAGUAUGA